GAGAUGUUUAUGUGCAGACCUGGAAAUUGCCUGGUCAGUUCAAUACUGACAAGCCAAAAUAGGGAAGAGUAAACUUAAUUAAAAAAAAAAAAAAGUUGUGCCUGUAGAAGAGAGAAAGCAAGAGCUUCCUCUUCCAAGUGUAUAUAUACUCUAUGGGCUGUUGUUGUAUAGACAGGGAACAUCCUCUCUACAUCCAGAGUGGUGUGCUCUCUUCAGAGUUUUCUUCUUUGGUCUUCCUGACUUUGAAAGGAUGCACAUUUUGUUUUGCUGGAGUGCUAGCCUGCGUUAUGAGCACAGGACUGAGGAUGCAGCUGCAUUCUAGUAAGAAGGUCAUGUUUUCCACCUUUGCCUCUGAUAGCAGUCUUUGACACAAAUACUUCUGCCUGUGCUACUGCUGAGCCUUGUCGUGUUUCAGAGGGAGACCACUUGUUCUGCACGGCGAUGGAAGGCAUUCAGCUCGCGGUGCAAGGGAAGGGUACUUUCUCAGCUGAGGUCGAGAUGGAGAAACUGAAUUAUGGGGAAGUGAAUUGAUGAGCCCAGACUUCCAGCAUAUUCACCACAAGGCCUUCCAGUUAUCAUGGACCUCUUGGCACAACACAGAUCCCUGCAGUUAUCAGGCAUAUUAUUUAUUGUUUAUCCUUUUUUCUCACAAAAAGAAGCUACUUGCCAGAGUUGCUGACAAGGAAUUCUUUCACUUUGGGGGCAAAAUGUGUUUAGUAGUUAUUAUGACAAGCCAUGAUUCAUACCUUUUGGACCUCAGUCGUAUUUUGCAUGGCAUGAGAAUAAAGCAAAUUACAUUCUGGAGAGCUUUGCCAAUGAAAU